AAACAACCACUCAGGGAUCAUCUUUCUAGCAAGAUGAAGAAAGGAGUGGAAGCACUGAACGAGGGAAGAGUGAAACUGGUCACACACUCCUUUUCCAUAGGCGUUGGCCCACCUUAUAGAGGCCCAAGCUGGGAGAGAGAGAGAAGCUUCAGUUUUAAAUAAAUUUUAGUGUGAUGACUAUUAGAGGGGGCUGGGUAUUUUUGUUACUUAACUGAUGAUGUUUGGGAGACCAGCAUGACAGGAGAACUUUUAAUACGUAAGAGUGAUCAGAAAAGUUGAGGGACCUGACCAAGUUUUCCUCUAAGGGGGCAAGAGAAAACUAGCCCCAGAGAAUAAAUUAAUGGGCCAGUAGAAGACAAAAAUUAAGAUGUUUUCUGAUUUACACCCUGUAGUGGAGACCGCUAGCUCCCUACUAAUCUACAUUCUGUCCUUUAGGCACAAACCCAGGCUAUAUUUCCCAGUGUCCCUUGCAAUUUGAUAUAACCUUUAGACUAAAUUCUUUUCAAUGGAACAUGAGAUGGGUUAGGGCUAAUGCGAUGGAUGCCACUUCCAAGACCGACCUAUUAAACACCCUCCCCCCGCCUCCCUACACAAAACUCUUUCUCUCCUCUUCUGCCAGCUGGAUGGAGAUGGUGAUAAAGGCACAAAAGUUGACAGAUAGAAGGAAUCUGGGUCCAUGAAUGACAGCAGUGAUGAGAGCUGCCCUAUGAAGCUAAACACCUGUCCAGAUUACUAUGAUCAUCUUUUGCUCCAUCUGAUGAGACAGUCACCACACGGUAGAGGUUAAAAUUCUGGCCACCAACUAGACAGUAUACAACUGCAACAUAAACAAAUAUACGACUAGGAGAAUCAGGAGGAACCGGAAAGCUCACCAAAAUCAAGAUCCAAGUUUUCAGAGAUUAAACUCCCAGAAAAGAACCACUUCUUGACCUGAGUUAUGGGAAUGAGACAAGGAGUAUUGACCAGGUGAGUGAAGAACAACAUGGUGCACUUCAUCAGGAUGUUGGCAAAUCCCAGAGUCACAGGAAUGGAAAGGACCUUUGUGGUGAGAGCAAGUUGAAAGGGAAUGUGAGCAAAAAAAUUGAAAGGG
rnacentral:lncRNA from 1 species